rnacentral:rRNA from 1 species
GACGAACGCUGGCGGCGUGCUUAACACAUGCAAGUCGAACGGAAAGGCCCUGCUUUUGUGGGGUGCUCGAGUGGCGAACGGGUGAGUAACACGUGAGUAACCUGCCCUUGACUUUGGGAUAACUUCAGGAAACUGGGGCUAAUACCGGAUAGGAGCUCCUGCUGCAUGGUGGGGGUUGGAAAGUUUCGGCGGGUGGGGAUGGACUCGCGGCUUAUCAGCUUGUUGGUGGGGUAGUGGCUUACCAAGGCUUUGAAGGGUAGCCGGCCUGAGAGGGUGACCGGCCACCUUGGGACUGAGAGACGGACCAGACUCCUACGGGAGGCAGCAGUGGGGAAUAUUGCACAAUGGGCGGAAGCCUGAUGCAGCAACGCCGCGUGCGGGAUGACGGCCUUCGGGUUGUAAACCGCUUUCGCCUGUGACGAAGCGUGAGUGACGGUAAUGGGUAAAGAAGCACCGGCUAACUACGUG